UUAACCCAAAAAGAUCAAGUGCGAGCUCAAGGCGGAUGAUGAGAACAGAUUCGGGGCUGGUUAACCUCAGAGAGCGGGAGUCCGUUGGUGCUAAUGAGGCCAAGGGAGCCCGGCUCCUUUCUGCCCCCAGGCAGGUGAGAAAGAAAGAACGGAGACGAAAGAGGGCCCGCUGUGUCUACUCCUCUUGGCCCAGAAGCCCAGCUGGACCCUGAGGCCACAAACUGCCCCCUACUGGAGAAAUCGCUGCAGGAUUUCUCCUCCAUCAAAUCGCUGUGUCAGAGCCAGUUGGGGGCUUUUAAAAGACGCCCACGCUCAGGCCCGCACCAGGCCACCUACACUGGAAUAUCUGAGGCUAAGUCCCAAGCUAGAAUUUCCCAUCUUCUUUCUGGCCUUGGGAGAUUUUGCAUCUCCUUCCAGGGAAGGAAGCCUGACUUCUGAAAUGAUUCUCACGAAGGAGAAGUGCUCCGUUCUGCAGUGAGCCUGGCCAGGGGGGCCACACCACAGACUCCCAGGAGGCUUCUGCUCUGCGUGGUUCUUCUGCUCUCGUUUCCUUAACGAUUGGGCCAGAGCAUCUCUGCUCUUGUAAAAUAGCAGGCAAUUAGAUCUCGAAGUCUUUGAAGUGGGCAGAUUCACCAGGCGUUGGACUGAAGUUUCUAUUUGUCCUGGCACUGAGAAUAGCAAAGGAACAGGGGGACUGAACUGGUAUGGAAAGAGGCAUAGAGAGGUGAAGUCUCUUGCUGAUAUCUUCUAGACCGGGCUGGCUGCAGGGUCUGUUGCUCUCAACCAGAGGAAAUAGAACCAUGAAAGAACAAGGGAGCCAGUUGCCAUGUCAUGGGGAGGACACUCAGGCAGCCCCGUGGGGAGACUCAUGUGAGGAGGAACUGAGAUGUCUUGCCAACAUCCAUAUGAGGGAGCCAUCUUGUAAAUGAAUCUUCCAGUCCCAAUCAAGUCUUCAGAUGACCAGAGCCUCAGCUGAUAACUUGGCUGCAGCCUCAUGAGAGAUCCUGAGCCAGAACCACUCAGCCAAGGUGUUCCUAGAUUCCUGCCUCUCAAAAACUGUGUGAGAUAAUAGAUGCUUAUUGUUUAAAGUUGUUUAGGGUAACUCAUUGUGUAGCAAUAGAUAGCUGAAACAGGAGGCUCUACAUUUACUCUUUUUUUUUUUUUUUCUUGGAGACAGAGUCUUGCUGUGUCACCCAGGCUGGAGUGCAGUGGGGCAAUCUCCGCUCAUUGCAAUCUGCGCCUCCCUGGUUCAAGCAAUUCUCAUGCCUCAGCUUCCCGGGUAGCUGGGACUACAGGAGUGCGCCACCAUGUCCAGCUAAUUAUUUUGUAUAUUUAGUAGAGACAGGGUUUCACCAUGUUGGCCAGGCUGGUCUCAAACUCCUGACCUCAAGUGAUCUGCCUGCCUUGGCCUCCCAAAGUGCUGGGAUUACAGGCAUGAGCCACUGCACCCAGCCUACCUUUAUUCUUAAAAUGCCAUAAAUGCACAGAGUGUUUUGAGGAGUCUUUUAUCCCAAAGUAUUCCAACUAUAUUUCUUUUAAAAAUUUAGGGCAAUUAAGGCAUUUUAAUGCAUGUGACCCUCCCCGCCCCACAUUCCCCCACCCUUCAUUAUUUCAAACUGGAGUGGUCUUUUGAAUUUUUUCCUGAACGUGUUUCCAGAAAGUUUAUACCAAGUAAAACAGCUAUAUCCAAGUUCCUAGUAAUUAUUACAGCAAUUACAAGGGUUCCAAGCCUAAUAAAGUAAUCUAAGGGCAGGAGGUUUGGAGGUAUGGUUAUUUCUUGGCAUUCUUCUAAUGACAGCCUGGAGCUGAGUAGCAUCUUGGCAGUUGUCUACUGUUUGAAUACGUUAGACUGCUCCCAACUCUGUCACUUGCUAACUGUGUGACCUUGGGCAAAUGAUCGAACUCUCUGUGCCUUAAUUGCAUAUAAAUUUUAGAAUCUAAUUAUGAUACCUGCUCUGUGGAAUCCUGGGGAAGAUUAAAAUGAGAUGUGGUAGAGCAUGGUGCUUAUAAGCAUUGAACCAAAUUGCCUGAGUUUGAGUCCUAGCUCCAGUGACUUUUCUAGCUGUAUGAUCUUGGGAAUGUUACCUAAUCUCCUUGUGCCUCAAUAUUCCACAUACAUAAAAUGGGGUGAGGUGGGGAAACGGUGCUUACCUCCUGUGACUGUCAUGAGAAUUAAAUGGAGCCAAUUCAUAUACUAUUCCCGGUACACAGUAAGUAGCAUAUGGCAAGGAUGCUAGGUAUAGUUGUGCAGGUUGUUCACUGUUCAAGGGCUCCAACCUGAGAGGUCAAGUGAGGGCUUGCCAGGCCAUACGCUUUGGUAUGAGGUUGCCUACCUAGAGGUGGCGCUGUUUUCUAGUUUGUACCAGGCCCUAUAUCAGCCAGCUGUCAGCAUAAGGGUUUGUAGUAUCCAGCAACCACUACCUUAAUACUAUCUUUAGGCUUUAGGCUGAUGUUCACUGAGCGCAUGCCAGUUUUAUUAUAACUGUUACUUGGUAGCUUCCUGGAGUUCUCCAGGAUAACAUCAGUGGGAUGUGUAUAUCCCAAACCUUGCCAUUACCAUUCAGAUACAAUGCUGAAAAUCAAAUAAAAAAUAUUAGCAAGGUAAAAAGUUUAAAAUCCUGCAGGACAAUAUUAUAUAUUGCUUAGGCAUACAUACAGGUUUGGUUCAAGUAUAGAAAAAUGCAUAAGAAUGAUAAACCCCACAUCUGGAUAAUGGGUUACCUGGGGUGGGGAGGAAGCGGAAUUAGAAAGGGAUGAAGGAAGCUUCGGCUCUAUUCAUAAUUUAUUUCUUCAGCUUAAUGGUGGCUACAUAAGUGUUUAUUAUUUUUUAAUCUUAAAUAUUUAAAAAUAAUGUAUAAUUAAUACUAUUAAAUAAGACCCGUCUUUUUAUGUAAAAACUAAUUUUGCAUUUCUCUCAUUAGUCUCUGUUAAAUAUUAAAUCAGUACAUUGAUUGGGAAUGACAGAAUCAAGCAAUCAUUCAUUCAACAAGUGUUUACUUGUUGAAUGAUAGGAUGUUCAAAGAGCUAAGAACUUCAUCCAUACGCUGUAAUACUUAGAACGCUUGUAACAUUUAUAAUAACCUGUUUGGUUAUUUGACUAUGUUUUCUUUUUUCUGUGAGAGCAGAGUCUCUGUCUUAUUCAUAUUUAAGAAUUCUGCUCUGUAAUAGGUGAUAAAUAAAUGUUAAUUUAAACCGAA
rnacentral:lncRNA from 1 species